rnacentral:lncRNA from 12 species
GGGGGGGGGGGGGGGGGGGGGGGGGGGGGGGGGGGGGGGGGGGGGGGGGGGGGGGGGGGGGGGGGGGGGCCGCGGCGCCGUCUAGUACAGGCACUGCGGGGCUCGUAUUCCCGUACGUGUUCCCGGAGCCCCGCGCGGGUGAAGGCAGCAUUUCCCAUAAGCAACUAUCAGUAUAUUUGCUUGUCUUCAUCCUCUUGACCUCGCCUUAAUCCUCUAGAGAGAUGUAUGUCAUGCUGUGACACACAAUGGUGGCGUGUGAGCCACCCGUGGGCGGAUAAAGGUGAGGCACCUAUGGCCAUACGUAGGUCCAAAACCGAGUGGAUGCGUGACUUGUGUGCAUUCACGCUGCCCGAGCCUCAGGAUGUGGUAAAGACACGAACCAGCCCCCUUCAUCAGAUGCUUUCCAUCUCUACAUCAAAUGAGAUUGAGAUGGUACAAGCAGGAGCUUCCUUCCAACUGUCUGUACAACAGGUCCUAAGCAGAUCCGGUGAAUCUCUUGUGACGUAUAUCCAAAGCCCUGGGACCUCACUGUGCUGCAGCUGCCAAGAGACACGUGUGGCAGAGUCCCAUAUGGGAUUCCUCUCCAGGAAUAGCCUCCACUGGUCUAGCUGGA